AUUUGGGUCAAUGAGAUAUGCCACAAACUCCUCAAAUUUCACAUCAUCACCUUUACGCAGAGCCUCCUGGGUGGCAUUUUUCCUUUGGCGCCUCACGAUUUUGGUACCGUAUCUCUUGUGAAAGGAGGCAGAUGUAUUAAUCCAUGACUGGCCUGCAGAAAAUUACUGCUUAUUGCUAGAAAGACCAUCCUAGCUACUGCAGGACAAGAAAAAAACCCAGCGUUGCAAAAAGUUACAGAACUAGGCAGGAGCCUGUUGUUCUAAUCCUAGCCCUCCUAACCCACUGGGUGACUUGGGCAAGUCACUUCACUUCUCUGCACCUGUUUCCUCUCCUACCGUUUGUAGUAUCUGUGUAGAUUUUCAGAUGUCAGCCAGAGACCGUCCCUGGCCCCUGCCCUAUGCGUCCGAACAGUGCCUAGCAUAAUAGGUCUCUGAUCUUCAUUGUGGCCACCACAA